rnacentral:rRNA from 1 species
GACGAACGCUGGCGGCGUGCUUAACACAUGCAAGUCGAACGGAAAGGCCCUGCUCUUGUGGGGUGCUCGAGUGGCGAACGGGUGAGUAACACGUGAGUAACCUGCCCUUGACUUUGGGAUAACUUCAGGAAACUGGGGAUAAUACCGGAUAGGAGCUCCUGCUGCAUGGUGGGGGUUGGAAAGUUUCGGCGGUUGGGGAUGGACUCGCGGCUUAUCAGCUUGUUGGUGGGGUAGUGGCUUACCAAGGCUUUGACGGGUAGCCGGCCUGAGAGGGUGACCGGCCACAUUGGGACUGAGAUACGGCGCAGACUCCUACGGGAGGCAGCAGUGGGGAAUAUUGCACAAUGGGCGGAAGCCUGAUGCAGCAACGCCGCGUGCGGGAUGACGUCCUUCGGGUUGUAAACCGCUUUCGCCGGUGACGAAGCGUGAGUGACGGUAAUGGGUAAAGAAGCACCGGCUAACUACGUG